rnacentral:rRNA from 1 species
UAGUACGGCGAGUGAAGAGGGAAGAGCCCAAGAUUGAAAGCUGGCGUCUUCGGCGUCCGCAUUGUAAUCUCAAGAAGUGUUUUCCGCUUCGGACCAUGCCUAAGUCCCUUGGAAAAGGGCAUCAUAGAGGGUGAUAAUCCCGUACAUGGCAUGGAGCGCCCGAAGCUUUGUGAUACGCUUUCUAAGAGUCGAGUUGUUUGGGAAUGCAGCUCAAAAUGGGUGGUAAAUGCCAUCUAAGGCUAAAUAUUGGGGAGAGACCGAUAGCGAACAAGUACAGUGAUGGAAAGAUGAAAAGAACUUUGAAAAGAGAGUUAAACAGUACGUGAAAUUGCCAAAAGGGAAGGGUAGGAGGUCAGAGAUGCGGCCUGGGAUUCAGCCUUGCUUUUGCUUGGUGUUUUUCCCAGAUUGCAGGCCAACGUCGGUUUUGGGCACUGGAGAAGGGUAGGAGGAACGUGGCACCUCUCGGGGUGUGUUAUAGCCUCCUACUGGAUACAGCGACCGAGACCGAGGACAGCAGCGUACUCGCAAGAGCGGGCCUUCGGGCACCUUUACGCUUAGGGCGUUGGCAUAAUGCACCUCUACCACCCGUCUUGA